rnacentral:rRNA from 1 species
CCUACGGGGGGCUGCAGUGGGGAAUAUUGGACAAUGGGGGCAACCCUGAUCCAGCCAUGCCGCGUGUGUGAAGAAGGCCCUCGGGUUGUAAAGCACUUUCAGUGAGGAAGAACGCCUGGUGGUUAAUACCCAUCAGGAAAGACAUCACUCACAGAAGAAGCACCGGCUAACUCCGUGCCAGUAGCCGCGGUAAUACGGAGGGUGCGAGCGUUAAUCGGAAUUACUGGGCGUAAAGCGCGCGUAGGUGGCUUGAUAAGCCGGUUGUGAAAGCCCCGGGCUCAACCUGGGAACGGCAUCCGGAACUGUCAAGCUAGAGUGCAGGAGAGGAAGGUAGAAUUCCCGGUGUAGCGGUGAAAUGCGUAGAGAUCGGGAGGAAUACCAGUGGCGAAGGCGGCCUUCUGGACUGACACUGACACUGAGGUGCGAAAGCGUGGGUAGCAAACAGGAUUAGAUACCCUUGUAGUC